AAGUAUGGACACAACAUUGAAGCUGGAUUCAGCUCUAAAUUUGGAUUGUGAUUAAAUAGUUGACACAGCAUAGGUUUCUGACACAGAAUGAAUGUGGUCUAAUGAACUUAAAAUAUUUUUUUUUGCCUUUGAGCAAUUCACUAUGCUGUUGAAUAUUAAUCCUCUCAAAAAAAUGUUUGAAGAAAUUCUCUUUUUAUUUAUGAAAUCUGAAAUAAGAAAAAUUUAACCCCCCCCCCAAUUUUUUUUUUCACAUCCCCCUUUCUCUUUUUCCAAAACUGAUCUCAAUUCAAAUUUCUAAUGGAGUUUGCAACAAUAACUACUCAUU
rnacentral:lncRNA from 1 species